AACCCCCACUGGACCGGCCCCCCCGCUCCUGUGCCUGCCAGCAUGUGCAGUGGACUGGUCCAGUCUGCCCUAAUCCCAUGGAGAUCUCGUGUCCAUCACUGGGCACUGAAGUCUAACUCAACCCAACUGACUUCACCCCCCAGCACACACUCAUGCCGGCAGGUGCCACCACUUGUCCACCGCUGAACCUUCUUGAAGUCAGCUGAACCCUUGCAGCCUCAUCAGUGCUGGGUCUGAGCACCUGCCGCCCGCGCCUGCCGCCCGCGCCCUCUCCGGCCCCAGUGCUGUAACUGUUCCAGCGUCCUCACAGCGGAAUGGGAUCUGAGACUCCCUGGUGACGUGUGACGAGGACCGUCUCCUCCACUUCUGUCGUCUCCAAGCCUUUCUUCCUGAGUCCUCGGUUCAGGACUCCUGCCUGCUUCUUCCUGGGUGGCGCAUGUUCUUAGGAAGUGGGUGGUGAGGGCGCAGGAACUUGGUGUAUUUUGGGAAUGUCUUUUGCAGGUGUUUUCUCUCAGUUUCUCACCGUUUCUUUGCUUCUUGUCUCACGUCUUAGGUGUUGCAUCUCCAAGGAAUUCUGGGAGUUCACACAGCUCCCGGGAGGGCUGCAGGCUUACACUUGAACUCCCGGCUCCAUCUGAGUUGACUCUUGUGAAGGGGUGAGGGCUGGAUCCCCCAGAGCAGCCCCCUGAUUGGUCCAAGCAGCACACCUCAUCUGCAUACACCUAGACUCACUGGGAGAACUUCCUGUUCAGGAGCAUACACGGCUGGGUCAGAUGUCCGCUGCGGCCGGCGCUCCCUUGGGCCUCUCCGCAGUGACCCAGUGCUUCAUCAGCCCUGUUGUCUCCUGCGUAAGAUGGCAGGAAGCUGGCGUUGGAAGCCGAGCCAGGACUCGAACCCAGGCAGCCCUGGAGACCGCAGUCACCCUUGGAAUUGGGCCUUUUCCAGGGGAGAGGUCAUAGCUUGGCUGUGACGCCACAGUUCCGUGCAAGGUGAGGCACCCUUCUUGAGCAGUUCCCUGACGGCAGCAGGAGGGCCCUUCUUGGAAGGGCCUGCGCGCUGUGUACACAGGUGCGAGCUGAGCUCCUGGCGAGUGGAUUCCCCACGCUCCCAGCUGCAAUCGGUUAUGCAGUGUCACUUGGCAGGAGGCCUGCCCAGGUUCUCCAGCAGCUACCCGCUGGCCCGCCCACCGGCUGGCCCGCCCACCGGCCUGCCUUGGAGCAGGAGCUUCCCAGUCCAUCCUUGUGGGGAGGUGGUCACCGUGGUUACUGAGUGUCAGCUCCAGGCCCUGCUCUUUGCUUUGGAGAAAUUUCUCAUUUCCUGUCAUCAGGCCACUGGUCAGCUAGGGUUCACAGUGACCCACGCACCUCAGAGUCCGGUGUGGCACGAGUGUCCAGCAGGUGGCGUGUGGCUGCUGGGGUGGGGAGCUGGAGAGGCUGGGUGGCUCUGUCCACGUGAGUGGGCACGCAGGCCCUGCUCUGAGAGGCUGCUGGGCUGGUGGGGAUUGCUCGGGGUGCCUGGCAGUUUGGGAAGUAGAUCCUUCCACACUUAAGUUCAGGACCCCUGAAGCUCCAGACCACCGAGAGCGUCUUUAAGGGGAUGGUGAGCACAUCCUGCUGACCGCUCGAGGCACCUCCCCAAGGGAGAGCCUGUCAGCCCCGGCUGCAGGGGCUCCGGCUGCAGGGGCUCCGCCAGCCCCAUGCCUGCGAGGGCAGCAGCGGGCGGCCCUGAGGCGACUGUGCCAGUGACUGCUGGUGCCCAGCACGCUGUGGGGCUCAGUGUGACCAGGCCAGACCUUGACGUUCCCCAGGGUGAUGGGCAAGAGCCUGAGGAGACUUGGCAGGCAGUGACCUGGUGCUAGCUGACCCUGGGACUCCGAGCCACCCACGCUCGGCUCCCUUUGCUGGGAGCAGCUGCCCAGCUGCCGGCAGUGUCCUGAGAGCCCAGGAUGCGGGAAGUAAAGCCCUGAGUGUCCCCCUGGACAUGUAACACACCCUGCAAACCUGGGGGUGGCAAGGGCCCAGGGGGCACUGGAGGGAGAGGGAACAGGUUCAUGGGUGUUUAUGCACCUGCACUGGGCCCCGCCUGCACUGUCUUAGGGUCAAGGUCACUGGGGCAGAACCUGGGGCCUCUGCUGUCCAGGCCUGGCCAGAGCCCCCGGCCUCGCUCCCCUGCGUGUGGCACUUCCCUUGUCAGUACUGCUCAGAAGUUCAGAGCCAGUGCCACGGGGACGGAGGAGCAUGGCAGGGGAAGUGCGGGGCUACUGAGGUCUUUAUGCGGUGAGGCCAGCUGCUCCUGCAUGACCAACGUGGCAGGUCUUCCUGCGGCCCUGGAGCCCUCCUGUCCCAAGUCAAAGCGUCCCCAGGACCCCGCUCCUGUCUGUCGGGGGCAGACGUGGCCCCUGCCUGACCCGUGGCUCCUGGGGCUCCUAGGGUCUUUGGGGCUCCUGUGGCUCCUGUGGCUCCUGGGGUCUUUGGGCUGUAUCGAGGCCUUGGCUGCACCUGAGCUGUUGAGGGUCCCUGGGGAGCCCUCAGAAGCGUGUGUAGAGCGAGCACAGUUCCUGAUUUGCUUGAGACAUUUUGUGUUUCUGCCAUGUGCCAGGCCAGCGUGCCACACUUGCCUUCCGGGAAGCCUGAGGCACAGAGCCUGGGACCUUAGAGGGCUUCGUCUGGGGCCACUGCUGCAGCAGGCAGCCUCGGGCCAAGGCGCUGCCUGCGCCUGGGCGGGGAGGGAGCCGUGGGUGCUUCGGCCAGAGGUGAUAGGAAGUGGGAGACGCUGGAUGGCCCUGGCGUGGCAGGGAGCAGCAGGAGCCAGUCCAGGCUGUGCCGUGCAGGUCAGUGGCUCGCCUAGUCUCAGCUGACCCCACGGCAUAGGCAGCUGCUGGGAAGCCGGGGGUGGGACAAGCAGAGUCCUGUCCCUGCGCGCCGAGGGGCGCCAGCCAGUGCUGCCGGAGCUGCCUCCCAGCAAAGUCCACUAGCCAGCCGUGUCUGGCUGUGUCUCUCCUGCAGCAUCCUUCAUAAAACCUUGACCUCUGCCACACGAGGUGCACAUCCACGCUGUGAUGGGGUCAGAGGCAUCCUUGCUGGCUGAGGCUGGCAAGCGGGGCACUGCAGGGCCCUGACUGAUAGGAGUGCCUUGUUGGGGCUGAGUGAGGCUGUUGCUGAAGCUGCGGUGCAGCAGGGCCCUGUGGCUGCACCUGCGGCUCCCAGGAAGGCCUCCUGGGUCAGCCUCGCGCCUGCUCUGUGCUGGGAGCAGGUGAAGGGGCAGGCCUCCUGCUGGGGACGUGAGGCCGGAGGGGAGCCCCUCCCUGCGGACUUUCUCCUUAGAAGCAGCACAUGGUUCUGCUUUUCCCGGCCAAUGGGAACCACAUGUCGGAUCCUUCUCUUCCUCUUCUCCCUCCGAAAUGCAAAUGUGGAGCAGGCCCUUGGUCAGCAUGGUUGCUCAGCCCGGUGCCAGGCUGCCAGCGGCUGCGGGCCACGGCAGGGCUGCUCCCACCUUACCCAGACCUCAGAUUCCAGGGCUUCCGAGGCAGGCCCUUCCAGGUGGACCCGAGGGGCUGCUUAAAAGCGCCUGAGCGCCCAGCACGGCCAGCGGCCCUGCCCGGCUGUGAGCAGACUGCAGGCAUAACUCAGUGCUUUGAAGCUGCGGCCAAGCUCUGCUCGCGUUUUAUUGACAGGAAGUUGUUUUUCAAAGCCUGGCUCCGCAGGCAGGCCCCACGCCAAGUGGCCCCGGCACCUUCUGGGGCUGGCACAGCUCCGGGCGCUGUAAAUUGCGCUGGCCCCAUCCCUUCCAGUAGGGCUCGUCCCUCCUUCCCGUCGGAUUGACCGUUGCCCUCCGGCCCAUGUCUCUAGCCGUCUCAGUGGACAGAUGGACGGACACGCACUGCCCGACGCUCCUUGGCUCUUGGAGGCUCUCCGGGGUGCUGGGAGCUGUCCACGUGCCUGCUGUCCGGCAGUGGUCAUGCUGCGUGGGCUAGGUGUCCCCUCCUCAUCUUCCCCCUUGAGCCCCAUGGAAGGUUGCACGCGUGGCUGGAGUCCCAGCUUGAAUUCAUGCCCUGGAGGCUCAGCCCUGGCUGGGCUGGCCUUACAGACUGUAGGAUACUGACUGGCCUGGGGUCACUGAGUGGACAGUGCUCGAGGCUGGGGAGCCCACACCUGGCAUCUCCCCCAGCCCGCUCCUCCCACCGCACGCUCUGCCCGCAGGGCCAGCUUGGGCAGCUCUGAGUUGCUGACCCACAUGGCCAGUUUCCUGUAGGGCUGCUCAGUGGAGAAUGUUCUGGAACUGUCUGUCUCGUCCUGGAGCGCCUCUCUGCUCCAGUCUGGGCUCUCCUUGACUCUCCCCGCCCAGGGGUUCCGCUGGGUGGCCUAGCCCUGAUGGGCAGCAAGACCCAGGUGUCCCUGGUGCUCAGCCUCCUGCCACUGGUCUCAGGUCCUGGUGGCUUCUCUUCUGGAACGUUCUCAGACCACGGCAGGCUGCCUGGUCUGCCAGCUGGCAUUGGUGCUUGCAGCUCCAUUUCCUCUCGUUCCACUGGGUACCAGGGGCGUAGUGUCUCUCAGGUCCUGGGAUGCCCUCUCUUGCUCCAGCCCAGCCUUUCCCUACACAGCCCCCUGUGCAGGUCGGACUGGUUCUGUCCUGUUUGCGAAGCCCUGUGAUCUGCUCCAGUCCCAGCCAGUGUGCCGGGCUGAGGCUUCCUGUUCUUCGACUGGCCUUGCCCUGGCUACCUCCUGCCACGGACUCACCCUGCUUCCCACGUGGGCCGCUCCCCACGUGAUUCCGUGUCUGUCCUGUGGUUGCUGCUGCCGAGGGUCACAGACUGCGGAGAGCUUGUGCUGUGCUGACGUAGCCCACGGAGAGGCCUGGGUGGGCCGUGGCACCUCUCCGUGGAGGCUGCCCAGCCUGGGUGUCGUGGGCCUGCAUCAGGAUGGCUCGUCUCGCUUCGGGCUCCAUUUCCUCCUCGACCACGCUACAAGCUGAAGCUUCUGGUGGAGCUGGGGAGACAGGCUGAGGGGAACGCCCUGGGUCUGUGCAUACUGGAAGGGGCGCGGGAGGCCCUGACAUGGGGGAUGCACAGGACCUGGAAGUGGGGUGCCCGUGUUGGGAGUCUAGCGCUUGCUGCGGGCAGGCAUGGCCAGGGCUGGACAGCAUGGUGCCUCCGUGCCAAGGCUGGCCCUGGUGGGUGCCAAGCUUUCCUGUUGUCCUGGAGCCUGGUCACGUUCUUGUACUUGGCCUUGGGGCUCUGUGGAUGGGUGCAUGGUUUCCGGGGAUCUCACACCUUUUGGGGGUGCCCUGUGGGGUCCCCAAGGGGUUAUUGCCCCUGGGUGGCUGUGACACAGGCUGUGGCAAGAGCCAGAGGGGCUGGGGUCUCUGGUGACCUCCUUGGGGCAUCCUGGGUCCCUGUGAACCCCAAGGGCAGGGAUUCGCCCCUGCCUGCAUGCGUCCACCAGCUCACCCUGCCAGCCUCUCGCUGGGGGGUCCGUGCCGCCCCCUCGCACGUCAGGGCCUUCUCUGUAUCCCCUCCCUGCAGCGUCCUGGGCUCGGGUCCCUUUCAUCACUUUGGGGGGUGCUGCCUCCACAUUCUCAGGUGGAAGUGUUUAACGCCAGU